GACGAACGCUGGCGGCGUGCCUAACACAUGCAAGUCGAGCGGAGAUAAGCGGAUGGUAACUGAAGCUUAUCUUAGCGGCGGACGGGUGAGUAACACGUGGGCAACCUGCCUUGAAGUGGGGGAUAACACCGGGAAAUCGGUGCUAAUACCGCAUAACAUACACAAACUGCAUGGUAAGUGUAUCAAAGGAGCAAUCCGCUUUAAGAUGGGCCCGCGGCUGAUUAGCUAGUUGGUAAGGUAACGGCUUACCAAGGCGACGAUCAGUAGCCGACCUGAGAGGGUGACCGGCCACACUGGAACUGAGACACGGUCCAGACUCCUACGGGAGGCAGCAGUGGGGAAUAUUGCGCAAUGGGGGGAACCCUGACGCAGCAACGCCGCGUGGAGGAAGAGGUCUUCGGAUUGUAAACUCCUGUCUUCUGGGACGAAUAAUGACGGUACCAGAGGAGGAAGCCACGGCUAACUACGUG
rnacentral:rRNA from 1 species